UACGUAGGGCGCAAGCGUUGUCCGGAAUUAUUGGGCGUAAAGAGCUCGUAGGCGGUCUGUCGCGUCUGCCGUGAAAACCCGAGGCUUAACCUCGGGCUGGCGGUGGAUACGGGCAGACUAGAGGUAGGUAGGGAGAAUGGAAUUCCCGGUGUAGCGGUGAAAUGCGCAGAUAUCGGGAGGAACACCGGUGGCGAAGGCGGUUCUCUGGGCCUUACCUGACGCUGAGGAGCGAAAGCGUGGGGAGCGAACAGG
rnacentral:rRNA from 1 species